UCCAGACUCCUACGGGAGGCAGCAGUGGGGAAUAUUGCACAAUGGGCGAAAGCCUGAUGCAGCAACGCCGCGUGAAGGAAGACGGUUUUCGGAUUGUAAACUUCUAUCAAUAGGGAAGAAAGAAAUGACGGUACCUAAAUAAGAAGCCCCAGCUAACUACGUGCCAGCAGCCGCGGUAAUACGUAGGAUCCGAGCAUUAUCCGGAGUGACUGGGUGUAAAGAGUUGCGUAGGUGGCAUAGUAAGUAGCUAGUGAAAUCUGGUGGCUCAACCAUUCAGACCAUUAGCUAAACUGCUAAGCUCGAGACCGUUAGGGGUAACUGGAAUUUCUAGUGUAGGAGUGAAAUCCGUAGAUAUUAGAAGGAACACCGAUAGCGUAGGCAGGUUACUGGGACGGUUCUGACACUAAGGCACGAAAGCGUAGGGAGCAAACGGGAUUAGAUACCCUAGUA
rnacentral:rRNA from 1 species